UCACCACAAGUUAAGCUCUAAGCUUCAACUCUCGGUAACUGCUAAGGACAAUUUUUCAUCCAUUAAUUUUGCGACCUCUCUGCCGUGCCCCCACCAGAAAUCUGUGUCAUCGCCGGCCAACCUGGUAAAUAACAACUUUAACUGGAUUCUGCAACAAUAAGGACCAAGGAACUUGUAUUUCGUAAUGCACUAUAUUUUAUUGAAGUAUACACUCAUCAAUUACCAUUAGUUGUUGUUCGUGACCUGGUAACAGUGUGAAAUUGUCGGAAACUUCGUUAAAGUUUUACAAGAUUCAAAAAUAGUUUCUCAUAUAAUGAACGAUAUAAUAUUUGUGCCAAUUGUUACUCAAUAUUGUGACCUAUUGCCCCUUCCUCCACCAGAUCCGUGUCUCCACCGGUCAAUUUAUCUGAUCUAUCAGUACUCAUCAAUUACUAUGAGACCUUGUUCGUGACUCGGGAAUAGUGUGAAAUUCUCAGGAACUUCAGUAAAGUUUACCAGAUUCGCCUUCAUGUACUCAAAUUCAGUGUGACUUUAUCAAAACCUUCUUCAAAAUCUUCUUAAAAUAAACAAUUAACGGUGGAGACACAUAAAUAUGGUGAAAACACGUUAUUUGUUUCAAGCAGGUUUCAAAUUACUAAUUGCUUGUUAUUUUUCGCAGGAAAUCCAGUUGCUCAAAACAUUUAUUUGAAUUUAAUAAACCGUCGUUUGUCACGGUCCGAAAUAUAAAGUGUUGCGGUACUAAUUGUGAUAAUUCUUGAAACCAAGAAAAUCGUAAUUACUCCUUUCUGCCAAAGCGUCAGAACUUCCGAUGCAAAAUAACUCAUUUCUCUCAUUCUUUUUUCCUCUGAUAGCUAAUUUUAGUUUUUUUAAAGGUUCCAGCAGUGGUGUAAAAUUCUCGACAUCGAUAAGGAAAACGUAUCACCUAAAACUGUCGUUUGCAGCAAACACUUUUAGCCACCUUCAAGAAAUUUCUCAAAGAGUUUUACCGACCUCUCCACCCCAUUUGUGUCUUCACCAUUGUCUGUGUCUUCACCGAAAGGGGGGUGGGUUAAUUUAUCCUUUAUAUGAACAAGAAGAUAAAGAUUAGAAAUAAGUUUCACUACAGUUUGAAGUAGAAGAAUCAGAACCACAUUCAACUGUUUCCAUUUUCCUUAUAUACUCAAGGCACGAAAAUUAUUGCUACUAUUUAUAAUAAAAUAUUUUGCAACCGGGAAAUUAUUUCGAUGUUUGGUUAUUACGGCAAAGUUGUUUUUAUUGGUGAAGAUGCAUUAUUAAAUCUAUAAACAACAAAGAUGUUUUAUUCACAUUAGAUAACAAUUGCUUCA